rnacentral:lncRNA from 1 species
GCAGAAUCCUGUCAGCUUCCAAAUUAGCUGAAGGUUUUGGCUUUAACAUAAAUACCCAUCAGCGUCACCCCCGCAAUCUGAAAGGCCUUAAGGGGCACAUUUGUUCCCACGUGGAGCAGAAACUAAAGUGGGACCAAAUGGUCCCUGUGAAAGCUGGGCUAACCCACUUUCCUUGCAGCUCCAGGCCUCUGGGGUUUCAUCCAAGCUGCUCUUUGAAGGCCACACUGUGUCAAAGCCUUUGUUGAUGCCAGGGACACAGCCCACCACAGGCCAUGCCCAAAGGCCAGAGUCAGAGCACAAUUUUGAAGAUUACAGAAAACUCCAAAGAGAUUGAAGAGAUGGAAUAAAGGAUCCCAGCCCCCGAAAAGAGAAAGCUUUGUGUCUGUAGCCAUAGCCCUUGGCAAUCAGACAUCCUCCUCACUAAUGUGAGGUCAGGAGGGGACUAGAAGUGCUCAGAGGAUGGACUGCCUCUGGCCAGUGCAGGGGAGAGGCAGGGGUGUUGAGGCACAGGAGCCAGAUGAGAGGAACGUCAGCAGCAAAGCAGGUGGACAGCACGGAAGAGGCAGUACAUCUUAACAAAAUCAGGGUUCUGGAUGAAGGGAGGGGUGGUGAAUGGUUGCUGCAAUCAACAGUUCAUACUUCAAUGGAAAGAAGGUGGGAUUUGAUUCCUGGCUGCAAAUCUUCACUCUGUCACCUGCUAUCUGUGUGCCCUCAGUCUCCCAUCAAGGAGUGAUGUCUGUUUCUCCACUUCUUGAAUCUGGGCUGGCCUUGCCAAUAGCAUAUGGCAGAAGUGACAUCGUUCCAUUUCUGAGUCAAAGCCUGAGGAGGCCUUGCAUGCUUCUACUCUCUCUUGCAACCCUGCACUGCCACAUAUCAACAAGACUUAUCAACAAGCCUGGGAUAGCCUGCUAGAUGAUGAAAGAAAUAUGGCCCGCUUGCUCCCAUCACUCCAGCUGAUAGCCAGGCAACCCUAAGAAGCAAAGUCACCUAGCUGAUUAGUAGCUGACCACUGACACAAAAGUAAGAUCAUCUGAGACCAGAAGACAGCCCAUCUGAGCUCAGCCCAAAUUACUGACCCACAAAGUAAUAAUAAAUAAAUGGUUAUUAUUUUU